UCAGAUGAAGGAAGGGAAUGAAAUCUGGUGAAUGAGGGUGAUUUAAGGUGUCUGUGAGCAGCUGACAUUCAAGUGGAGCUGGGGUGUGAGAAGGAGCAAGCAGCCAAGGUGGGAAAAUGGG